rnacentral:tRNA from 1 species
AAAAAGUUAGUUUAUUAAAACACUACUUUGUCAAAGUAGAAAAGUCCAAAAAAGACACUUUUUA